UUCGCCCGGGGACUACGAGCGUUAGCUUAAAACCCAAAAGACUUGGCGGUGCCCUAUACCACCUAGAGGAGCCUGUUCUGUAAUCGAUAACCCCCGAUCAACCUCACCAUCUCUUGCCGAUACUGCCUGUAUACCUCCGUCACCAACUGACCCCUCAAGGGAAAAUAGUCGGUUUAAUGGCCCACCACCAGAAAGUCAGGUCAAGGUGCAGCGUAUGAGAUGGGAAGAAAUGGGCUACAUUUUCUACCAGUAGACCUUGCGAAAGAUCACUAUGAAACCUGAUUGGAAGGCGGAUUUAGCAGUAAAAAGAGAUUAGAGUGCUCUCUUUAAGUUGGCCCUAGGGCGCGCACACACCGCCCGUCACCCUCUUCAACUCCGAAUCUCUCCAUUAAUAAUUCUUCCCCAGGAAAAUAGAAGAGGCAAGUCGUAACAUGGUAAGUCCACCGGAAGGUGGACUUGGAA
rnacentral:rRNA from 1 species